UUCUUAGUGGCGGACGGGUUAGUAACACGUGAGAAUCCUACCCUUGAGUGGGGAAUAGCCUUUCGAAAGGAAGAUUAAUGCCCCAUAGUCUCUACGGAGUAAAGAUGCCUUCGGGUGUCGCUUAAGGAUGGGCUCGCGGCCUAUCAGCUAGUUGGUGAGGUAAGAGCUCACCAAGGCAACGACGGGUAGCUGGUCUGAGAGGACGAUCAGCAACACUGGAACUGAGACACGGUCCAGACACCUACGGGUGGCAGCAGUCGAGAAUCAUUCACAAUGGACGAAAGUCUGAUGGUGCAACGCCGCGUGGAGGAUGACGGCCCUAGGGUUGUAAACUCCUGUCAUCAGGGAGUAAGACUUAUUCGUUAAUAGCGUGUAAGUUUGAUAGUACCUGAAGAGGAAGGGACGGCUAACUUCGUGCCAGCAGCCGCGGUAAUACGAAGGUCCCAAGCGUUGUUCGGAAUAACUGGGCGUAAAGCGUGUGUAGGCCGCGCGGAAAGUCGGAUGUGAAAGC
rnacentral:rRNA from 1 species